rnacentral:rRNA from 1 species
UGAGCAACCUGCCCCGAAGACCGGGAUAACACCGGGAAACCGGUGCUAAUACCGGAUGCCCUCAUCAUGUCGCAUGGCGAGAUGAGGAAAUGGAUUCCGCUUCGGGAUGGGCUCGCGGCUUAUCAGCUUGUUGGUGAGGUAAUGGCUCACCAAGGCGACGACGGGUAGCCGGCCUGAGAGGGUGGCCGGCCACACUGGGACUGAGAACGCCCAGACUCCUACGGGAGGNAGCG